rnacentral:rRNA from 1 species
UUGACAACGGGGGGUGCGGGGGUGUCCUCCUCUCGUGUCGAGAUGUUGGGUUAAGUCCCGCAACAAGCGCAACCCUUGCUCUUAUUUGCCCUCAUUAAUUUGGGCACUCUUCUGUGACUGCCGCCGACAAACCGGAGAAAAGGGGGGAUAACACCUCAUCAUCUUGCGCCUUUUAACCUGGGGUAUACACACGCUAUAAUGGGCGGUACAAAGAGCUUCGCAACCCCGCGGGGGAGAUAAUCUCACAAAAACGUUCUCCGUUCGGAUUGUUUGCUGCCACUCCCCUACCUGAAGCUGGAAUCCCUAGUAAUCCCGGAUCAACCUGCCCCCCG